rnacentral:tRNA from 1 species
CCCGUCGCUGUCGGACGGAGACGGCGACGGCGACGGGUCGUCACUGUCCGACGGCGACGGAGACGGCGACGGAUCGUCGCUGUCCGACGGGG